ACAGAGGUGGCAAGCGUUACUCGGAAUUAUUGGGUGUAAAGGGCAGGUAGGUGGUCUGAUAAGUGAGGGGUGAAAUCCUGCGGUUUAAUCGCAGAACAGCCUUUCAAACUGCCAGACUUGAGAGAAACAGAGGAAGAUGGAAUUCCCGGUGUAAGGGUGAAAGCUGUAGAUAUCGGGAAGAACACCAACGGCGAAGGCAAGCUUCUGGGUUUUUUCUGACACUGAGCUGCGAAAGCUAGGGGAGCAAACAG
rnacentral:rRNA from 1 species